rnacentral:rRNA from 1 species
UACGUAGGAGGCAAGCGUUGUCCGGAAUUACUGGGCGUAAAGAGCUCGUAGGUGGUUUGUCGCGUUGUCCGUGAAAACUCACAACUCAAUUGUGGGCGUGCGGGCGAUACGGGCAGACUGGAGUACUGCAGGGGAGACUGGAAUUCCUGGUGUAGCGGUGGAAUGCGCAGAUAUCAGGAGGAACACCGGUGGCGAAGGCGGGUCUCUGGGCAGUAACUGACGCUGAGGAGCGAAAGCGUGGGGAGCGAACAGG